AACUUCUUAAGAAACUGCCAAACCAUUUUCCAAAGUCAUUACACCAUUUUAGAUUCCCAGCAGCAAUGUAUGAGAGAUCCAAUUCAGAAAAUAAAU